UGGGGAAUAUUGGACAAUGGGGGCAACCCUGAUCCAGCCAUGCCGCGUGAGUGAUGAAGGCCUUCGGGUUGUAAAGCUCUUUUGGCGGGGACGAUGAUGACGGUACCCGCAGAAUAAGCCCCGGCUAACUUCGUGCCAGCAGCCGCGGUAAGACGAAGGGGGCUAGCGUUGUUCGGAAUUACUGGGCGUAAAGCGAGUGUAGGCGGUUGCCGUAGUCAGGUGUGAAAGCCUUGAGCUCAACUCAAGAAAUGCACUUGAUACUGGGUGACUAGAGGACCGGAGAGGAUAGUGGAAUUCCCAGUGUAGUGGUGAAAUACGUAGAGAUUGGGAAGAACACCAGUGGCGAAGGCGGCUAUCUGGACGGUUACUGACGCUAAGACUCGAAAGCGUGGGGAGCAAACAGGAUUAGAUACCCUGGUAGUCCACGCCGUAAACGAUGGGUGCUAGACGUUGGCGAGCUUGCUCGUCAGUGUCGCAGCUAACGCGUUAAGCACCCCGCCUGGGGAGUACGGCCGCAAGGUUGAAANUCAAAAGAAUUGACGGGGUCAUAGCUGUUUCCU
rnacentral:rRNA from 1 species